UGUCUUCAUCUCUUCCCUGGCCACAGAAGACUCUGUGACAUCAAAGAGGAGUUCUAUAGGAUUGCAGAUGGUCUGCAAUGCUGACUGUGUGAUCAGCAAUGUUGUGGCAAAAUGGCCUGGCUCAGUCCAUGACUCCAGAAUCUUUUCGGGCCUCUGAAAUCUAUCAGUGCCUAUCACAAGGUGAAUUCUCUGGUGUGUUGCUGGGAGACAGGGGGUAUGGCUGCCAGCCUUUCUCCUGACACCUUUCACAGACCCCCCAGAGCACAGCAGGCCUACAACCAUGCCCAUGCCAGGACCAGGGCCAGAGUUGAAAUGACCUUUGGCCUCCUGAAGGCACGCUUUCACUGCCUUCACAAUUAAGGGUCAGCCCUGUUAGGGCAUGUGAUAUUACUGUGGCUUGUGCUGUCCUCCCACAAUGUGGCCUGCCUGAGGAAGGAGAGGGCCCCCAGAGUGCCACCAGCCAUGGACUGGGACAAUCCGGCAAUCUUCCCUGAUGACGACAGUGGUCAGCUGCUGAGGACCAAUAUGUGUUGAAUUAUUUUAGUUAGUAUGUGUGCUUUCAAUUUUGGUUAAAU